rnacentral:rRNA from 1 species
UACGAGAGGCCCAAACGUUAUUCGGAAUUACUGGGCGUAAAGCGUGCGCAGGCGGCUAUGCAAGACAGAUGUGAAAUCCCCGGGCUCAACCUGGGAACUGCAUUUGUGACUGCAUGGCUGGAGUACGGCAGAGGGGGAUGGAAUUCCGCGUGUAGCAGUGAAAUGCGUAGAUAUGCGGAGGAACACCGAUGGCGAAGGCAAUCCCCUGGGCCUGUACUGACGCUCAUGCACGAAAGCGUGGGGAGCAAACAGG